rnacentral:lncRNA from 1 species
AAAAAAUUCGUAACUGUUGCAGUAGAAAUUCAAUUGACUGUAGAGGUACAGAUAUCUUUCUAAAUUUUUGUAUUUUUCUGAAUAACUUGCUGAUAUUUUAAGACUUACUAUAUAAAGCAUCACACCAACUGCAAAAUAAUCACUGUUGUUUCUCAGUCUCCUGUCUUAAGGUUGAUAAGAGGAAAAUUCCAAGAUGUCCUCAGUUUAUUUGCCAAGGACCAGAGAAUGGAAGUAAGGAGAGAUUGGGGCAAGUGGAAGUAAUUCAGUAAUGAGCAGUGGGCUUAAAAUAAAAUUAAACCUUAACUUAAAUCCCAUCAAUACCAGCUAGGUGCUGUCACAUUCUGCCUUUACCCCCAAACAAUCCAGAGGCAGCUUGAUGUCAUCCCAAUUCUCUCAUCUAUGAUCUGAUCAAUGUAGGGUUUUUGGUAAACAGUUUUUUAUUCCUUUCUUCCCAGAUUUGCAUUAUAAAAGACUUUGCCUUAUUAGAUGUGAGGAACAUUUUUUCAGCUGCUACCUAACUUUGCUGCUGGGGAUGAGGGAAUCUCUUGUCUCAGGACUGGUCCUUUCUUUCUAGUAAGGGAUAGUGAGGGAAAUUGGCUAAGCCUGGAUACACCUGGAUAUAAAUAUUUUAAAUAACAAAGUUUCCUUAAGUUGUCUUCUAGGAAAAGCCUUCAUCAUCCAGUCAGGGGUCAGCCUAAAACCAGUUUUCCAAGAACAGACAUAUGCAGAAGUAGCCUGCUUGUCCUGAUGAUGACCUUUGGAUGUCACAAACUCAAAAUUCAUUGGGGAAGACCAUGAUAACUACCCCUCCUCAAGAAAAGAAUCUUGUCAACUUGAACCAGGCAUGGAGGUACACGCCAGCCUCAGCAAUUUAGAGAACUUGUUUCAAAAAGAAAAAAAAAAAAGUGACAGUGAUCUUGUGAAGAGGAAUGAUGACCUUUAGACCACCCUCCAUAAGAACCCUCCCCUAUUCAUCUGAUCAACAAACAGUUUUCACCCUCUAUGAAUUUCCACCCUACAAACCAACUUCAAUUUUUGCUCAAAAAUUUUGGUAGUAUGGCCAUUUUGACAGUAUUAAUUCUGCCUAUCCAAGGGCAUAGGAAAUCUUUCCAUCUUCUAAGGUCUUCUCUUUCACCUUCUACAUUUCUAAUUUGGGGCAAUCAUCACUAAUAUCCUAAGCCAUCUCUGUCCUUCAGUAUCAGGCUCCUCUUAUUGGUUGUUUUACUUUGGAACAAACCUCAUGCCAUGGUAUUACCAUUUGUGUAUCUUGCCCUGUGUCUCUAUCAUCUGUAAUGGCUUGAUGAGCCCCUUUAUUUCAGAGACCCUUCAGUCUAGAAUUUUGGCUUAACAACAACUUUGAAUUGUUAUACUUAUUGCACUCAAAACAAUGUUGAAUAGAAGUGAUAAUUUCAUUUUUUUCUGUAUUUCACAGUUAGUGCUCUCACUAUUUCUCCAUUUAGGUUGAUGUUUGUCAUUUUUCGGGUAAAAAUGUUAUGUAGAUAUAUAUGUGCAAAUAUUAUACAUACACACACACACACACACACAUAUUCCCCUCUUUUCUAGUAGUU